UUGGGCAGUGUCAAUUAAGUCUUGCGUGGGACCGUCCCCACUAAAAUUCUCAGUACAGUACUGAGCGUUUGCGAUAACGUACACGGACAACACACAAUAAGGUAACCGAUAACAAAAGCCCUUUGACGAGCCCAACGAGACAACAAACCAAUCAACCUACUAGAACCGAGAGCUACGAUCAACUAUCAAAUGUAUGGCUAUGUUUCCCUUGCUUGCUCCCUCUGCUUACCACGGUGAUGAGAGUGAGGCAACUACCGUCGUUGGAUAAUUCAGAUGAAGAUAAAUCGUUGGUUAGACGGUAUGCCCAAGUGAGCAAAAGUCUGCAGAAACUACAUGGAAACACUCAUAAGACGUGGGAGUCCCAAAUGUAAGCCGUAAACAAAUCAACACCCACUUCACACUGGAAAAGAAGUAUCGCACAAUCGAUCCAAACCAUGAAAGCAACGUUGGUGUGAUGCUGAACGAGAAAUCAACAAGCCGUUGGUAUAUUGCUUCACUUCGUCAAAAUAAUUUACCUCGAUGUGUGGUCCAGUUUCACCAAGAUUGUAUACAUGAUUAUGCUUUUUGAUUUUGAAGUAAAUAAAUCAAGAAGCCUUUGCUAUUUCUAAA